AGGCCUCUACAAGGGAGCUUUAUGAGAGGGUGUGUAGCCUUCGUGGAGUAGAAAAAGAAAAGGUACUUAUUUGGGACUAUUUCAAUAAACGGCGAACUCAAGGCUGAGUAACUCAAACCAAACUUUGGAGGAGGCAAACUUGCAGAUGGAUCAAGAAAUUCUUCUUGAGGUGCAAGAUGUAAAUAAUGCUUCUCCAUUCGGCAAGGAUUCAACAGGAAAUGAGUUGGCUUUGGUAUCUAUAGAACCAUCUAGGUCUUCAGUUACAAUUGCUGGGGGGCCUACAAUGUCAAAUGGCCAUUCAACUGGAUAUAGCUCUAAUUUAUA